rnacentral:lncRNA from 1 species
UACAGAUGAGGAAGAGAACUGGACAGAAGCACAUCACCGCAAAAGAUGUGGUCUGCACAACGAAUGGGAAGAUAAAAAUUCGCUUCGCCGUAAGUGCCAACGAUACGGAGAAAGUAAUUGCUGCAACUAAACAGUGUGCGAGGAUACCUGGAAAAGAGGGCCUGUGCCUUCUUGGUGACGGUUUGUUCAUGAAAGACAACAGC